ACCUCUGUCUCUUCCACUCCUCCAUGGAUUAUUUAUCCCGUAGGACGCUGCUUGCGUCGAUUCGAUUCCCAUGGGCCGUUCCUCGUGAUGCUCUGCUGAGAUUUGUGCAAGAAGGAGGAUGUGCCAGUGACUCUGUCAUGUGAUCUGCGUUCUGGUAGUCCACGGGAUGCAGGAUGCUUUUUUUCAGAUCCACUCGUCCAUGUGGUUUUCUUCAAACCCCGGAUCAACCUUACGAAGAUGCACCGUGCAGGAUAGGCUAAAUCAGUGGUGUGAAGAUUCAAUAUAUUAUAUAGAUUAGAGUAGAUUCUUACUGUUUCGAGGCAAAGUUGGUUUGUGCCACUACUUGUGAUAUUCCUAACUGUUGGUGCCAUUUUUGAACUUGAUACAACAUGGAUUGAUUGUAUUAUAUUUGUCAUUUGAAGAAUCUA